GUAUCUGUGUACUGAUAGAACGUGAUACGUUCCUGAAUCAAUCGUACUCUGGUGGUAAAUUUUGAAAUUAAAAUUUGAAAUUACUCCAUUUCGCGCGGUGUCAUAUUGAAAAGAAGAAGUAACUGUCGAGAAUUCGUCGUAAAUUCGUCGUUCGUGGAAAAUUUAAUAUACAAUACGAAGACAUUGGUUUAAAAUGUCUGACGUAUUGUUUUUUUCUUGAAACAUAAUAUCGGCCUGUUGGAAACAUAUCCUUUCCAAGAAUUCGACGACUCUUGUUCGUACACACUCGACUUACCGGCGACGUCCUCCCCACCCCUCGCCAGCCGAAUUCCGUUUGGUAAAUCGACACGCGGGGAUCAUUCUACGGACGAAAAUCGGAUUGAUUAGAUGUAUCUAUACUCUGCAACAAGUGUCCUCUUUCUACUACGUAGUAUUUUUUUAGUAAUUUUUCUACCAAAUUCACGCUACUGCUAUGUCUAAUUAAUAUCAUUGCUUGAUUGCGAGGAAAAUUUGAAGACAUUAGAGAAACGCCACGAAAUUCGAAAGAACGCCACGGUGUAUGAUUAAUUCGAUAGUUUUCUAUGCAGAUACGGUAACACUUGACUUAUUCUAAUGAAGGUAAACGUAUUUAUACGUUUGUUUGUUCUUUCUAUUGGACACUUGGUAAUAUUUAUUUAGUAUGUAAUCGAUUCUUAACAAAUAAUUCGCAAUGUUAACACCAUUAAUACAUAAUAUAACAAAAUUAUAAAUUACUUUAUGAUUUAUUAAGAAUACGAAGGUGAAGACACCGUUAACCGCUUCUUAUUUCGGAUAUAGAUACAUAUUAAAUUAAUUUUUUAUUUCAAACAUACUAAAUGAAAUGCUUUAUUAUUUAACAUUAACGUAGAAUCUCCAAAAUUCUAUUUAAAUUAAAUUAAAAUAACUUAUAUUUUGCUGCAUUCCCGCGAAUUUUCUGCAAUAAUAUUGUCACCACAAUUUUUUUAAUAAUUCCUAUUAUUUUCUAGAAGAAAUGCUGUUGCAGGUAGGUUUGAAGACAUAUUUCGUUAGUAUAAAAUGUAUUUGAAACUCUAAUAAUGGACAAAUUGGGUGCAUUAUGGAAUAUUGAUAGAGAUUUGAAUAAUAUUGUAACUAAUAACUCCAUAUUAAAUAUUUCAUAUUCUAGUAUGAUAUGUGUGUAAUCUAUGUAAUAUGAUAUUUGUCUGUGGUAAAUGAAUAAUAAUUACUUUAUAAUUUUGAAAAAGCAGUAUUUUCAUAAAUGAACACUGGAUAAGAAGAAGAAGAAAAGUAGUAUUUUAAUAAGAAUUUUUUCUUCCAGAAAAUUUUUGUGACUGCGCGCAAUGCGGUCAGUAAAGUCAGUGUUUGCUGCGUUAUAUUACUUUUCAUAUUUUUUUAGAGCGUAAUAAUUUUCAUUAAAUUUAAUUAUAAUAAUCAGACGCGAAAGUAGAGUCAGUGUGUUCGCCAAUUGUCACUUGAUUUGAACGGACGUGUUAAUAGCCUAUUAUUUUUCUUCUUUUUUUGUUAAACAUUCGCUUUCGGUAGUGGAGUCGCAGGUCUCGCAAGAGGAUAAAGCCUCUUGGAGCUCGACGAUGUUUUUCAUAAUUUCCAUUUUUUCCUCUUCUCUGGGAAGGAUGAAGCGGCACUUCAAAUUUGAGCAUGUAAGAAUCUUUGCACAUUGUAUUUCAUUAAUUUUAUU